CAGCCUUGAGGUCUACCAGCUAGGCCUUGCUGCUUCUCCUGUCAGUAAUUUCAGGGCCUUGGCUGCAUGAGGAGAAAAGGCAGAAGUCCAGCUUCUUUCUGCCUCCCUGGAGAAGCUUUCCAGACCAGCCCGCUCAGAGGACCAAGGAAGGCACCUGAGCCCCCAAUGUGUCAUGGGAGACCUGGCUCCCACAUCCUUCCCUGCUUCCCCAAGGACAUCGGGGUAUGGACAGGACGGAGGCCGUGGCGCUGAUCCAAACCUGUCUGUCGGCCCCCCUGGAUGGCGGACGACUAACCGGCCCCUCUUGGGAUACCAUGAGAACCGCACCGGCCCCCCCCAGGAGGGCAUCGGUUGGCACCAGGCUGUUGCCCCCUGCACGCUCCUUCCCGCCCCCAUCCCACGAUUGUAUCCCCUUCCUUCAGACAAUGUCAUUUCUUUCGGGUAGGGGUUAAGGGUCAAACACUGCAUCAUGGGUGCCACACAAAUCUCUGGCAAUUCCUGGAGGUGAUGGAUGUGUGUGCGUCUCUGGUGUGAGAAUGGGUGUCAGGACCAGAUCAGGAGGAGGGGGCUGCCCCUUUUCGGACGGGGAGACGGGUUCUG